rnacentral:tRNA from 1 species
GCGGGAGUAGUUCAGCGGUAGAACGUCUCCUUGCCAAGGAGAAGGUCGAGAGUUCGAAUCUCUUCUCCCGCUCCU